rnacentral:rRNA from 1 species
AUGUUGCAGGUCAUCACGGUCAUGAUCCCUCCGUCAGGCAGUUCACAUAGCUACCCGUGGGAGCUGGAGAGGAUACAGAACUGGCAGCAAAAAGCAUGCGAGGAGCUGUGGACGCUGGAGCAGCCCACGUUGAUGGAUCCCACACGUACCGAACGCUUUUACAAACUGUUUGUCACCAAGAACAACAAGAAGACAGAUUUUCACCUCAACGGCCUGGACGGCGGCGUAAAAGUCGGUACAGAGGUCGGGAUCUACUCCGGGUCAUCAGACACAAACAACACCAUAUGGCAGCUGACUUCAGACGCCCAACCCUGCGCCCCCUGA